rnacentral:rRNA from 1 species
UGGGGAAUAUUGGGCAAUGGAGGAAACUCUGACCCAGCAACGCCGCGUGAAUGAUGAAGGUCUUCGGAUUGUAAAGUUCUUUUCUAAGGGAAGAAGAAAGUGACGGUACCUUAGGAAUAAGCCUCGGCUAACUACGUGCCAGCAGCCGCGGUAAUACGUAGGAGGCAAGCGUUAUCCGGAAUGACUGGGCGUAAAGGGUGCGUAGGUGGUUUGACAAGUUGGUAGCGUAAUUCCGAGGCUCAACCUCGGCGCUACUACCAAAACUGUCGGACUUGAGUGCAGGAGGGGCAAAUGGAAUUCCUAGUGUAGCGGUGGAAUGCGUAGAUAUUAGGAGGAACACCAGUGGCGAAGGCGAUUUGCUGGACUGUAACUGACACUGAGGCACGAAAGCGUGGGGAGCAAACAGGAUUAGAUACCC